rnacentral:rRNA from 1 species
UACGAAGGGGGCUAGCGUUGCUCGGAAUCACUGGGCGUAAAGCGCACGUAGGCGGCUUUUUAAGUCAGGGGUGAAAUCCUGGAGCUCAACUCCAGAACUGCCUUUGAUACUGGGAAUCUCGAGUCCGGAAGAGGUGAGUGGAACUGCGAGUGUAGAGGUGAAAUUCGUAGAUAUUCGGAAGAACACCAGUGGCGAAGGCGGCUCACUGGCCCGGUACUGACGCUGAGGUGCGAAAGCGUGGGGAGCAAACAGG